GACUCAAAAAGGAAGUCAACUGAGAUCAUCAGCAGCAGCAUUUCUUCAGUGCCUAUGCAAUGCUGCUCCGCUCAGGCCGUAUAAAGCCGUAUCAAAUGCCUCGCCAGAGAAGGCAGCCCGUGAAGAAGAAAUUUCUGCUUGAACGUAUGAGAACAGCUCCUGGAAAGCCAGUGUUUAGUCUGCGAAAAACAGUGAAAUGUUAUAUCCUAACCGAAGAUUCAAAAACCGUGCAUUUUGAUAUUGAUGAAGAUGGUCAUCAUGAAAUAUGUACCAAGGAUUCACAAUCCCAUGAAGAUAUUGCGUGGUUAAGUGUGUUCACAAGGAACGAAGCAGCAGUUACUGAUUCUAAAAAUUUGGUGAUCCUCACACAGAGAUCAAAGCUAAAUGAAUUUGUCCUGUUGUGCAAGGGUAAGAAGCAUCUCUCUCUGAAGGUCUUAAAAGCAUCCUGUUCAGAGCCAGAUUGUCCUUCAGUGGAGAGAUGCAAUAUGAAAACAUGCAACCAUGAAGAUCCUGACUUUAAACAGCUGAGUGAAGAUAAUAACUUUUUCAUCAUGCAUUACCAAGGAGAUUCAGUGCAGUUCCAAUGCUAUGAAGACAGAAGUUACUAUCUGUGUGUGAACAACGACUCACUUGAUAUUCGCAAGCUGGAAAACAAAGAGCCCAACGAGGACAAAAAUUUUUACUUCAGGGUGUCAUAUUUACAGGAAAAGUAA
rnacentral:lncRNA from 1 species